rnacentral:sRNA from 1 species
AUCAACAACAAGAACAACAAAAAU